GAUGAACGCUGGCGGCGUGCUUAAGACAUGCAAGUCGAGCGGUAACACUUCGGGUGACGAGCGGCGGACGGGUGAGUAACACGUAGGAACGUACCCCAAACUGAGGGAUAAGCAUCGGAAACGGUGUCUAAUACCACAUGUGAUCUUCGGAUUAAAGCUCCGGCGGUUUGGGAACGGCCUGCGCAUGAUUAGCUUGUUGGUAAGGUAAAAGCUUACCAAGGCGACGAUCAUUAGCUGGUCUGAGAGGAUGACCAGCCACACUGGGACUGAGAUACGGCCCAGACUCCUACGGGAGGCAGCAGUCGGGAAUUUUCCACAAUGGACGAAAGUCUGAUGGAGCAACGCCGCGUGCAGGACGAAGGCCUUCGGUCGUAAC
rnacentral:rRNA from 1 species